rnacentral:rRNA from 1 species
UCUUCCGCAAUGGGCGAAAGCCUGACGGAGCGACGCCGCGUGAGCGAUGAAGGCCUUCGGGUUGUAAAGCUCUGUGGGGAGGAAAGAAUAAGUUCAGGCCAAUACCCUGAAUGAUGACGGUACCUCCUUAGCAAGCACCGGCUAACUCUGUGCCAGCAGCCGCGGUAAGACAGAGGGUGCAAACGUUGUUCGGAUUUACUGGGCGUAAAGCGCGUGUAGGCGGCUUUGCAAGUCGGAUGUGAAAGCCCACGGCUCAACCGUGGAAGCGCAUCCGAAACUGCAUCGCUCGAGUCUCGGAGAGGAAGGUGGAAUGCUUGGUGUAGAGGUGAAAUUCGUAGAUAUCAAGCAGAACACCUGCGGCGAAGGCGGCCUUCUGGACGAUGACUGACGCUGAGACGCGAAAGCGUGGGGAGCAAACAGG